GGUAUUCUGCCCCCUGUGUCGCAAUGAUGUUUUGGAUAUUCCGAUCAUCAACAAAACAGAGGAUUUCAUCUCGUUUGAAGUCGACUGUCUACCCACGGACCACGUGAUCAUGGCGACCGCACGCGGCAAACAUGACGUCACGCCAGACACGUGCUCGGGGUGCGAAGGUCUGCUGUGCAGGUGGCGCACCGCUCCUCACCCGCAAUGUCCGGGACAAGAUGUGCAGAACACUGAGGCAGACGCUCGAGCGGCCGUGAAUGAUCUGUCAGAUAAAGUGGAGAUGAUGAUAGAAGUGAGUAACAAGUUGCAGAAGCAAGUCAGGGGCAGGAGGCCGAGGCUGAGUUUCUGGUGGACAUGAGCAAGAUUGAGGGCGAGGUGCAGGACCGAACCCGGGAUUCUGUCAGUUGGUUAAAGACUGAGACAGGAAAGCUCUGCUCUGUCCUCUUCUCGCACCAGCAUCUCUUACAGCGGAUGUGAAGCAGCCAUCAGGUAGUGGCUACCAUGCUGAUGAGGAAGCCCAUGGAGGACAGGUGUUGGAUAUUGUCAGAUGAGCGAGAACGAGAUACAGAAACAUUCAACCGAAUGGCAGUCGCCCACUCUACACGACAUUUGUGGAUUAGGAAAAUAUUUUUGACUCCAUAGACAGGGAAACCGUCGGGGAAUUGAUGCAGCUCUACGGAUUUCCACCGAAGUUCAUUGCCAUCAUCCAGCUGCUGUAUGUGGAAAGAGUACAAACGUGGAUUGUGAUUUUGACUGCUUUCAAUAUAUUGUGAUUUUUUAGUGUCUUUAAUAUACUGACGAGUAUAAUAUAUUGGGAAAAAAGAGAUUAAGAGAGGAAGAAAGAGAAAGAAAGGAAGGUAGGGAAUAUAUCCAGACUGUAAAUAGUCCAGCUGUAAGAAAGUUUCUUGUGAGGUAUUAUACCUGUUAUGUCAGUAACUAUAAUGUCAGUAACUAUACAUUUGUGACAUAAACGUGUUUGUCUUAUGUGCAGCACUUUUUCUGCUUUAUUUUGUGUUUAUAAGAAAAACAUGCAUGACCAGUUUGUGUAAAAUGCUUUUCAGAAGUAUCUCGGUGCAAACAACAAAAAAUGUUAGAACGGCAUAAUAAAUCCCUUUGACUCUGUAAAUGAUAUUUAUCGACACAAACACUUUUGAUCAAGCUAUAAAAAGCUGUUUCGUCUUUAUUUUUUUGCAUGAAGAAUAUUUGAGCCUUUUGUAGACAAUAGAGUAAAACAGAUUACAAAAAGUCACCUGAUUGAUCAAAUUUCACAUAAAAAAGAAUAAAA